AUGGCAAAGUGAUGAAAUGGAGAUGCCAGUCCACCCAGUGCCAAAGGUGGCAUGGGCUUUACCAUCAGCUGGCCAAGGGAGCUGCCUUUAACCCACCGAUUGGCCUUUCUCCUUUUAAACCACGGGAGAUGCAUUAUCCAGCAGCCACAUCUUGGCUGCAUUUAAAAGCAGGGGAAUAAAAAGCAGAUUCCCCAGCAGAGUUGCUUGCCUGCAAAAUUCAGUUUGUGUCCCGGUCUGGCUCUUUUUGCAUCUGACAGAAGUUAUCUUCCCGUAUGUGCUCUUCAGCUGCCUGAGAGCUGUGUCCUGGGAUGACUCCUCCCGCAGAUGGAAAGUGGACUUAAAUUUUUCCUUUAAUACAGGCYUUUCCACUCCCUGCUUUUUUCUUCCCUCAUUGACAUCAGUCUUGACRUUUGGUGAUACCUUUCCCGGUCCCUUUGAAGAUGCCCCGUGGACCACGCAGGCUGCUCGAGGGGAUGUGAAGGAGCUUGCCCAACACCAUGUGCAUCAAGGCCACAGACCUCGUGUUGCACACACAUGUAUUGACUCAGGCAAACACACAGAUAUAUGUUGAUAUACAGAGGGGGAAAAAAAGAAAACACGGAAUGAAGGUGGGAUUUUGCUGCCUACUCAGAAAGCACAACUGGAACAAGGGACAUCUGCCUAAUUCUGCUACAGCUUCUGGGAAUAAAUUCAACUAGUUGCCCAUGACUCCUCACUGUGUGUCUGGGCUGAAGAACCAGCAUCUGGAAAACAGGUACAGAGUCUCCAGCUACACUAGCCCAAAGCUAACUUAAUGGUUAGCUUCUCCGGUGACUGCUACAUUAAGGCUCUUCCUCUUCCCCUCUGCUUCAGGAGAAACAAUUUCAGUUGAGCACAAGGAAUGCUGAGAGGCAAAAGGCAGAACACUUGCAAAUAUGUGAAGGGUUUUGCUGAUCAGAGUUCAUCGCUCCAGUUAGUCAUUAUUUCAUAGCUCAGGAGAAAUGCAGCCUCGGUGUUCUCUAAGUGAUGGGCGCGGGGUAGCAAUCAUAGGGGCACCGGUGAACUUCCUGAUAUUAAGACAGCUAAAGUGCUGUUCAGCUGUAAUCCAAUCAACAAGGCACUACUCUUAAGCCAGCAGCACAGCAAGGCAAGCUGAGCUGAUGAUCAUUCARGGCAAGCUACCUGCAACUCGGUGAGAACCAAUAAUAAUAAUAAAAAGAAUUCACCUAUCAGAAAUUUGGGGAUAAAGGUCAAGAUAUUUUGUGAUGUGUGAUUAUAGGUGGUCAUUGGUGGUAAACACAGGAUUGGUGGGAAGGGGAGGCAGCUGAUGAGCAAGAGAUCAUGGUGUGCUUGGGGCAGACAAAAGAAGAGCCAGGAGGAAAUGCAUUUUUUUGAGCAGAAAGAUUAAUUAGUGAAUGGAGCUGAUUUUUUGCAGCACAGAACAUGUUUUCUUUGUAAAUGGACCUGAAAAGAACCAAGAUAGAGUUGCUGGGCUAUGCCUGUCUCCUGGUUUGUUACUGGGAAUCUGUGUCUUAUUCCCUAGAGAUGUAAGGGGGCUACAGUGUCCUUAGUCCUAUUGGUAAAUGUGUGCCCACUUGAAAAAUAAAAUAAAAAAUUAAUAUAUGGGAAACUUUCCCUUUCACCUUUCCAUGAUAAUGUAUGGCUUGUUAAAUAGUUUCCAUCCAGAUGACUGGGAGCCCUCACUGAGGACAAAAACU